rnacentral:rRNA from 1 species
GACGGAGGAUGCAAGUGUUAUCCGGAAUCACUGGGCGUAAAGCGUCUGUAGGUUGUUUAAAAAGUCUGCAGUUAAAGGUUGAAGCUUAACUUCAAAAAUGCCGUAGAAACUUUUAAACUAGAGGAUGGUAGGGGUAGAGGGAAUUUCCAGUGGAGCGGUGAAAUGUGUAGAUAUUGGAAAGACACCGAUGGCGAAGGCACUCUACUGGGCCAUGACUGACACUGAGAGACGAAAGCUAGGGGAGCAAAUGGG